rnacentral:rRNA from 1 species
UACGGGGGGGGCAAGCGUUGUUCGGAAUUACUGGGCGUAAAGGGCUCGUAGGCGGCCAACUAAGUCAGACGUGAAAUCCCUCGGCUUAACCGGGGAACUGCGUCUGAUACUGGAUGGCUUGAGAUUGGGAGAGGGAUGCGGAAUUCCAGGUGUAGCGGUGAAAUGCGUAGAUAUCUGGAGGAACACCGGUGGCGAAGGCGGCAUCCUGGACCAACACUGACGCUCAGGCACGAAAGCGUGGGGAGCAAACAGG